AUUGAACGCUGGCGGCAGGCCUAACACAUGCAAGUCGAGCGGAUGAAGGGAGCUUGCUCCUGGAUUCAGCGGCGGACGGGUGAGUAAUGCCUAGGAAUCUGCCUGGUAGUGGGGGAUAACAUCCGGAAACGGGCGCUAAUACCGCAUACGUCCUGAGGGAGAAAGUGGGGGAUCUUCGAACCUCACGCUAUCAGAUGAGCCUAGGUCGGAUUAGCUAGUUGGUGGGGUAAAGGCCUACCAAGGCGACGAUCCGUAACUGGUCUGAGAGGAUGAUCAGUCACACUGGAACUGAGACACGGUCCAGACUCCUACGGGAGGCAGCAGUGGGGAAUAUUGGACAAUGGGCGAAAGCCUGAUCCAGCCAUGCCGCGUGUGUGAAGAAGGUCUUCGGAUUGUAAAGCACUUUAAGUUGGGAGGAAGGGCAGUAAGUUAAUACCUUGCUGUUUUGACGUUACCAACAGAAUAAGCACCGGCUAACUUCGUG
rnacentral:rRNA from 1 species